GAUGAACGCUGGCGGCGUGCUUAAUACAUGCAAGUCGAACGGACGGACGAUGCGCUUGCUGCUUGGACGUGAGCCGAGCGCGUGUGUAUCACGUGAGUAUACCGUCCCUGUCAGACGGGUAACUUCUGGGGAAACGGGCUCUUAUAGCAGAUAAUAUUCUGCAGCGCAUGGGUCAAUAGAGAGAGUCGGUCGUGCGGGAUGUUAUAGCUGCAUACGCGCUGCAUUAGCUAGUUGGGAAGGUAACGGGUUACCAAGGCAACGAGGCAUAGCCGAACUGAGAGGGUGAUCGGCCACACUGGAAGGUAGACACGGUCCAGACGCCUACGGGAGGCAGCAGUAGGGAAUCUUCCGCAAUGGGCGAAAGCCUGACGGAGCAACGCCGCGUGAGUGAUGAAGGUCUUCGGAUCGUAAAGCUCUGUUAUUAGGGAAGAACAUAUGUGUAAGUAACUGUGCACAUCUUGACGGUACCUAAUCAGAAAGCCACGGCUAACUACGUG
rnacentral:rRNA from 1 species